GGAGGUGUAGCUCAGUGGUUGAGCACCUGCUUCACAUGUAUGAGGUCCUGGGUUCAAUCCCCAGUACCGCCU
rnacentral:tRNA from 1 species